UGUUGCAGUGUGAGAAGCUGAAAUCUUGGGCUGAUGGUUGUCUAACAGACGUUACCCGAGAAGUGCGUGAAAUACUAACAGAUGGAAUGCUUGCCACCGAAUGUAACGGCUCCUUCUUAGGGCUCAGCUCUUUGGAUGUCAGUCAUCACUAUGUCUAUUAUGUCCCUGUCAGCUGAAGCCAUUGAUGUAGCCAAAGUCAGAUGCAGGAAGAGUAGAUUUGACAGCAGGCUCAGGAAUGGGGCUAAGUCACCACAGAGGCCACGGAGCACCCAAUUCAGGAUGAGGCCUCAGCUACAGGGCCCCUCAGGAUGUAUUGAUGAUUGAAAAUAAAAGCUGAUCUUGGAAAA